rnacentral:rRNA from 1 species
CCCAUUCUAUCCAAAUCCAUGGAAACCUCCACGCAGAAUGUAAGGAGCGGCGGAGUAAUGGAGGGCGAGGCGCAGCCGCCGCCGGCGUGCGUGUCCAAGGUGCUCGACGAGGACAACCUCCUCCGAGAGAUCAUCGUCCGUGUCGGCUUCCCCACCAGCCUCGUCCGCGCCGCCGGCGUCUGCACGCGCUGGCUCAGCCACGCCUCCGACCGCGCGCUCCUCCGCCGUUUCCGCGAGCUCCACCCGCCCAGGCUCCUCGGCUUCUACCUCGCGAACAGGGAGCGUCCGGGCGGGGCGCGCUUCCUCCCGGUGCUGCCUCUGCCCCCGGAUCUCGCCGCCGUCGUCCGCCGCGCAAGCUUCAGCCUUGACACCCACGACGGCGCGCGCCGCUCCGCAAGCUUCAGCCCCGGCACCCACUCGGACGGGCGGACCGACGUGGUGGGCUGCUGGAACGGCCGCGUCAUCACCAGCUCGCAGGGGCAGAAUUACGCCCACGGCCGAUCCGAAAUUAUAUUUCAAGUGCACACCCCGCUAUGCUCUGGCUCUGAGAAAGGUGCGGCCAUCAUCCCAGCAUUACACCUCAAAGUCCAGGAUGGAAUUUGCAGGCUUAUUAGACAACCCUUCUUCUGGAUUGUCCUACUUUUUUGUCACGGUGGAGUGUACCAGGUAUCAUGAAGAUUCUAAGGUGCAUGUGUAUAUGCUGCAAAAUGGUGAUGAUGCCUGGCGCAAGCAUCUUACCUUGGCCUCGGACCUCCUCCUGUAUCCACGCAAAAGCCCCAAAGGCGUGCUCGUUCACAACAAAUUCUAUCUGCCGACCGACAAUGAAAUUGUUGUCCUGGAUUUGGUGUCCUCAAGCUUAUCGACAAUUCAGCUCCCACAAGGGGUGGGUUUUAGUCCAAUAGGCACCACCAUGUUGUCACGGGCUGAUGAUGCUUCUGGUGUGUAUCUCAUCCAUAUCAAGGACCUUCAACUUAGCAUCUGGCUCCACAAUGGGGACAACUGGUUGCUGGUGGACACCAUUUGCUUGUGUGAAAUAUCUGAUAAUUUGCUUGACGAUGAGCCUACUGACGAUAUCCUGAUAAACCAUGUGGGGGACUAUAAUGAGUUUUUAUUCUUGGAGCUGGGUCGAUGCGCACUCUACUUGGAUGUCAAACGCAGGACGCUGCGUAAAGUGUAUGAGAUGACAGCAGAGGAGCAACAAUUGGGUGAUAUCUAUCCUCUUAUGAUGAGCUGGCUUCCCAAUUUCCCUGCACUCAUGGAUAGUCCUGCAAGGUUUGCCUUUUGCCCUUUUCGUGAUCUAUAUACUGUCCUUGUAGAGUUUACUCAAUUUUGCAAUUCGCAUCGUGCAUCUCACUGUUUGGUAUUUACUAUAGUUGUGGGGUGCUAAUACAUAUGUGAUUGAUUCCUUAGGCCUUUUUUAACAAUACUAGUCACACAGCAUUGAGAAUGCCUGUUUUUAGAUGGUUUAAAAUCACUUCCUUAUUAAUUUCUUGGCCCAUCUAACAAUACUAGAGGCGACACUAGUGAAAGCUUGAUGUAAGAUGAUCUGGAAUCACCUGUGUACUGAGGAGCAUUACAAGGUGUCUACUUGUGAUUAAUUGGUCAUAGUAGGGAACCGUUGCGUGUGGACGUCAGUGCGUAAUGGGCUGGUUGUGAAGGAUAUUGUGGAUAGGUAAGAUAAAUGAGAGAAGUAGACCUUAUGGAUGGAUGCAUAUUUUAUUUCCUUUUUAAGUCGCUAAAAGAUUACUGAAUAUUUCCUUUAAAUAUUAUACCAUAGUGGAUCCCUAAGGAAAAGAAUUUUCUCUCUCUCUUUUUUUGCGGGGAAGGAAAAGAAUUCUCUUGGGUACAAGCUCAGUUGCAUUUACUUCCCUAUUACUACUACCACUUGGAUUACUAUAUAUAUCCAAAUCCAACUAUCACCAAUAUAUUGCCAUCCUUAGUUGGUUUUAAUGAAACUAGUAACACUUCUGUGGGCUCUAUAUUAAAGUAUUGUUAUUGUUUACUGGACAUAUACUAAAGUAUCAGACUACGACAAACUACUCCAUGGGACACUUGCUUUUGUUAAACCUUGUGUUGGCAUCAAACAUCAUGCUUCCAACUUGGUCUUCCCUUUGUAAUUUCAUAAUAGCAAUUUGUAGUGGUGCUAAAAGGUGACUUGUUUGUUGUUUUUCUCAUGGAUCUCUCAUUCUGUUGUAUACUUACAGUUUUCUGAACUAUCCGUGCAAAGUUGCAAAUUGGACCUACCAAAGUAUGAAACAUCAUGUAUAAGAGGAUUAAAAGCUGAAAGAUUCCUAGCCUUGGUAAUCUGUUAUCAUGUUGACCACUGUUUUCUUGCCCAUAAAUAGUCAUAAGCCCAUCAAGCCUGAUACGCUAGCUUCCUAUUUCUUAAAUAUAAUCAUGGUGUAACUUUUUACACCCUAUUUCUCAAUUUUGAACCUCAAGCUAUGUAUGAGCUUGAUAAUUAUUUUUUUUGCAAUGUUGCCUAGUGGACCAUAUAUUCUUUUACUCGAAUACAAGUGGUAGAUUUGACACACAUACUCUUCAUCUUGUUUAUGAUUGAUUCAGAUAUACAGUGGAAUUUCCUUUUAUAUGACAUUGCUGGUCCAAGAUAACAUUGGCUACUUUAUGUUUGUGUGGCAUUCCUCCUAUAAUCAGAGUUUUGGUUUGUUGGAAUAGAAACAAUAAAAUGGAAAUAUGUCAGGCUGGGAUAUUAAAAGCAUUUAACCUCUAUUGCUGUAGCUCUUGGAAAUAAAAAGUGAAAAAUUAUAUCGCUUUACCAAAUUUAUCGUCUUAGAUUUCUGAACGUCACUUAACAUUUAACUGUCGUUGAGGUAGCCACUUGUCUUGUUAGUCCAGGGGAUAUUGUGAUGCUUAAAGUGGCAACCGAAUGUAUCCUGGUGCUUAAUUACGCCCAUCUGGAUCCUUGCUCUGUUUUCUCUGAAACAGGAAUGCAGCGUGAAGAACAAGGAUAUAAGGAUGCUUUUGGACGGCCUGUGACAAGUUCGCCAUCAACGAAGAGCACAGUGCUGCACUUCCACUGCAGCAGUUCUAACUGUGUUCAUUUUAUCGCCAUCAAUGAAGAGCACAGUGCUGCAUUUCCUCGUAGCUGUUCCUACUGUGUUCAUUACCUGCAUCGCCUGGUCUGUUUGUGUUGUUGGUGUCUUCUGUGGUUCCACUGCUUGCUGCUCGUGGCAUUUGGGGAGGUGUCUUCUUUUGUUUGUUGAGCAGCUGUUCCAGUACUGUACUUGUGUUGCAGCCUUGUGUGGUUAUGCUGGUUGCAACUUAUGCCAUCUGCAGAAAUUGUGUAGUUCUACUGCUGUAAAAAUCUUUUGGGAAAGUGUCAGUCUUCUUUUGUACGAGUAGUAUGUUUGAUCAGCUGAGCAUCUGGUUAAGUGUCUUAUUUUACACCAUUGCAGAAUUGGUUUCAGUUAUCAAUGUGUGCC